GAAUUAUGGAAUGUGGAGUUCUACCAAAACAACAGCGACACAGAGACAGAUAAAGACAACAUGGUAACCACAGCCAUCACCUUCAUCCUCCUCUUCCUUAUCACUCUGCUGUUCACCAUCGGAACCACUGCUUUCAAGAUUAAAUAAAACAAGAUGAACUUUCUGUAAAAAAAAAAAGUUUUUUCUCCACACAUUUGUUCUUAUAAACUCAUAGUCGUGCAUGUAAGUAAGCGCAAUUGUCCUUUUUCAUUUUAAUUACAAAAGCUUUGUGUCUUUUUGAAAAUAAAUUUUUAAAUGAAGAUAA